AUCGCGGCAGGUGCUCACGUUAAGCCCACCGACUUUCAUGUCCCUAUCUACUAUCUAGCGAAACCACAGCCAAGGGAACGGGCUUGGAAUAAUUAGCGGGGAAAGAAGACCCUUUUGAGCUUGACUCUAAUCUGGCAGUGUAAGGAGACAUAAGAGGUGUAGAAUAAGUGGGAGAUAUUAGACUUCGGUUUUGGUAUCGACAAUGAAAUACCACUACUCUUAUUGUUUCCUUACUUACUUGAUUAAAUGCAACGUGUAUCAUUUCCUAGCCAUUAUACGGAUAUAAUUAUUGUCUUAUGGUAUUGGGUUUUGAUGCAAGCUUCUUGAUCAAAGUAUCACGAGUUUGUUAUAUAAUCGCAAACAAAUUCUUUAAUGAGAGAAUGCAUUUAUGUAUUAUUGAUUUAAGAAUUUGGUAUAACUCCAAUUACUCAAGUAUAAUCCAAUUCAAGGACAUUGCCAGGUAGGGAGUUUGACUGGGGCGGUACAUCUCUCAAAUAUUAACGGAGGUGUCCCAAGGCCAGCUCAGUGCGGACAGAAACCACACAUAGGGCAAAAGGGCAAAUGCUGACUUGAUCUCGGUGUUCACUACACACAGGGACAGCAAAAGCUCGGCCUAUCGAUCCUUUUGGUUUAAAGAGUUAUUAACAAGAGGUGUCAGAAAAGUUACCAUAGGGAUAACUGGCUUGUGGCGGCCAAGCGUUCAUAGCGACGUCGCUUUUUGAUCCUUCGAUGUCGGCUCUUCCUAUCAUUGUGAAGCAAAAUUCACCAAGCGUUGGAUUGUUCACCCAUGCAAGGGAACGUGAGCUGGGUUAAGAGCGUCGUGAGACAGGUUAGUUUUACCCUACUAAUGACAAAACGUUGUUGCGACAGCAUUCCUGCGUAGUACGAGAGGAACCGCAGGUACGGACCAAUGGCACAAUACUUGUUCAAGCGAACAGUGGUAUGACGCUACGUCCGUUGGAUUAUGCCUGAAAGCCUCUAAGGUCGUAUCCGUGCUGGACUGCAAUGAUAAAUAAGGGGCAAUUUGCAUUGUAUGGCUUCUAAACCAUUAAAAGUUUUUAAUUUGUUUUAUUAACGAAAAUGGAUGUGAUGCCAAUGUUAUUUAUAACAUAGUAAAUUGGGAGGAUCUUCGAUCACCUGAUGCCGCGCUAGUUAUAUUUUAAAGCAUUAUUUAAUACAAUGUGAAAGCCUAGAAUCAAUUGUAAGCGACUUUUGUAACAGGCAAGGUGUUGUAAGUGGUUGAGCAGCUGCCAUACUGCGAUCCACUGAAGCUUAUCCUUUGCUUGAUGAUUC
rfam:Drosophila virilis strain TSC#15010-1051.87 Ctg01_15257, whole genome shotgun sequence.